rnacentral:rRNA from 1 species
CCUACGGGUGGCAGCAGUAGGGAAUAUUGCACAAUGGGGGAAACCCUGAUGCAGCAACGCCGCGUGGAGGAUGAAGGAUUUCGGAUUGUAAAGCCCUUUUGUCAGAGAAGAUAAUGACGGUAUCUAACGAAUAAGCACCGGCUAACUCCGUGCCAGCAGCCGCGGUAAUACGGAGGGUGCAAGCGUUACGCGGAUUUACUGGGCGUAAAGAGCGCGUAGGCGGGUGAGCAAGUCAGAUGUGAAAGCCUAUGGCUUAACCAUAGAACUGCAUUUGAAACUGUUAUUCUAGAGUAUGGGAGAGGUAGGUGGAAUUCUUGGUGUAGCGGUAAAAUGCGUAGAGAUCAAGAGGAAUACUCAUGGCGAAGGCGACCUGCUGGAACAUAACUGACGCUGAUGCGCGAAAGCGUGGGGAGCAAACAGGAUUAGAUACCCCAGUAGUC